rnacentral:rRNA from 1 species
GGGCUCGCAGGCGGUUUCUUAAGUCUGAUGUGAAAGCCCCCGGCUCAACCGGGGAGGGUCAUUGGAAACUGGGAAACUUGAGUGCAGAAGAGGAGAGUGGAAUUCCACGUGUAGCGGUGAAAUGCGUAGAGAUGUGGAGGAACACCAGUGGCGAAGGCGACUCUCUGGUCUGUAACUGACGCUGAGGAGCGAAAGCGUGGGGAGCGAACAGGAUUAGAUACCCUGGUAGUCCACGCCGUAAACGAUGAGUGCUAAGUGUUAGGGGGUUUCCGCCCCUUAGUGCUGCAGCUAACGCAUUAAGCACUCCGCCUGGGGAGUACGGUCGCAAGACUGAAACUCAAAGGAAUUGACGGGGGCCCGCACAAGCGGUGGAGCAUGUGGUUUAAUUCGAAGCAACGCGAAGAACCUUACCAGGUCUUGACAUCCUCUGACAACCCUAGAGAUAGGGCUUUCCCUUCGGGGACAGAGUGACAGGUGGUGCAUGGUUGUCGUCAGCUCGUGUCGUGAGAUGUUGGGUUAAGUCCCGCAACGAGCGCAACCCUUGAUCUUAGUUGCCAGCAUUCAGUUGGGCACUCUAAGGUGACUGCCGGUGACAAACCGGAGGAAGGUGGGGAUGACGUCAAAUCAUCAUGCCCCUUAUGACCUGUGCUACACACGUGCUACAAUGGACAGAACACAGGGCUGCAAGACCGCACGGUUUAGCCAAUCCCAUAAAUCUGUUCUCAGUUCGGAUCGCAAUCUGCAACUCGACUGCGUGAAACUGGAAUCGCUAGUAAUCGCGG